rnacentral:rRNA from 1 species
UACGGGAGGCAGCAGUGGGGAAUAUUGCACAAUGGGCGCAAGCCUGAUGCAGCCAUGCCGCGUGUAUGAAGAAGGCCUUCGGGUUGUAAAGUACUUUCAGUCGUGAGGAAGGUGUUAAGGUUAAUAACCUUAGCAAUUGACGUUAGCGACAGAAGAAGCACCGGCUAACUCCGUGCCAGCAGCCGCGGUAAUACGGAGGGUGCGAGCGUUAAUCGGAAUUACUGGGCGUAAAGGGCACGCAGGCGGUUAAUUAAGUUGGAUGUGAAAUCCCCGGGCUUAACCUGGGAAUGGCAUUCAAGACUGGUUAGCUAGAGUCUUGUAGAGGGGGUAGAAUUCCAUGUGUAGCGGUGAAAUGCGUAGAGAUGUGGAGGAAUACCGGUGGCGAAGGCGGCCCCUGGACAAGCUGACGCUCAUGUGCGAAAGCGUGGGGAGCAAACGAGGAUUAGAUACC